rnacentral:rRNA from 1 species
UACAGAGGUCUCAACCGUUGUUCGGAUUCAUUGGGCGUAAAGGGUGCGUAGGCGGUCGCGCAAGUCGGAUGUGAAAUCUCAGGGCUCAACCCUGAAACUGCAUUCGAUACUGCGUGGCUCGAGUGCUGGAGAGGAGACUGGAAUUUACGGUGUAGCAGUGAAAUGCGUAGAUAUCGUAAGGAAGACCAGCGGCGAAGGCGAGUUCCUGGACAGUUACUGACGCUGAGGCACGAAGGCCAGGGGAGCAAACGGG